rnacentral:rRNA from 1 species
GGGGAAUAUUGGACAAUGGGCGCAAGCCUGACGACGCAACGCCGCGUGGAGGAUGAAGGUCUUCGGAUUGUAAACUCCUGUCGAACGGGACGAACACCUUUCGGUUUAAUACUCCGAGAGGCUGACGGUACCGUGAGAGGAAGCCCCGGCUAACUCUGUGCCAGCAGCCGCGGUAAUACGGGGGGGGCAAGCGUUGUUCGGAAUUACUGGGCGUAAAGGGCGCGUAGGCGGCCUGCUAAGUCACACGUGAAAUCCCUCGGCUCAACCGGGGAACUGCGUGUGAUACUGGCGGGCUCGAAUUCGGGAGAGGGAUGUGGAAUUCCAGGUGUAGCGGUGAAAUGCGUAGAUAUCUGGAGGAACACCGGUGGCGAAGGCGGCAUCCUGGACCGAGAUUGACGCUGAUGCGCGAAAGCUAGGGGAGCAAAC